rnacentral:rRNA from 1 species
UGCAUCCAAAACUAUUUAGCUAGAGUGUGGGAGAGGAAGAUGGAAUUAGUUGUGUAGGGGUAAAAUCCGUAGAGAUAACUAGGAAUACCAAAAGCGAAGGCAAUCUUCUGGAACAUUACUGACGCUGAGGCGCGAAAGCGUGGGGAGCAAACAGGAUUAGAUACCCUGGUAGUCCACGCCCUAAACGAUGAAUGUUAGUCGUCGGGUAGCUAGUCUAUUCGGUGAUGCAGCUAAUGCAUUAAACAUUCCGCCUGGGGAGUACGGUCGCAAGAUUAAAACUCAAAGGAAUAGACGGGGACCCGCACAAGUGGUGGAGCAUGUGGUUUAAUUCGAAGAUACGCGAAGAACCUUACCUAGCCUUGACAUAUUUAAGAAUCCGAUAGAGAUAUUGGAGUGCCUUCGGGAGCUUUCUUACAGGUGCUGCACGGCUGUCGUCAGCUCGUGUCGUGAGAUGUUGGGUUAAGUCCCGCAACGAGCGCAACCCUCGUCACUAGUUACUAACGGUUCGGCCGAGGACUCUAGUGAGACUGCCUUCGUAAGGAGGAGGAAGGUGAGGACGACGUCAAGUCAUCAUGGCCCUUACGGCUAGGGCAACACACGUGCUACAAUGGCCAGGACAGUGAGAAGCGAUACCGCGAGGUGGAGCAAAUCUAUAAACCUGGUCACAGUUCGGAUUGUAGUCUGCAACUCGACUACAUGAAGCUGGAAUCACUAGUAAUCGUAGAUCAGCUAUGCUACGGUGAAUACGUUCCCGGGUCUUGUACUCACCGCCCGUCACACCAUGGGAGUUGAUUUCACCCGAAGCGGGGAAGCUAAACUGGCUACCCUCCACGGUGGAAUUAGCGACUGGGGUGAAGUCGUAACAAGGUAACC